UACGGCGAAGGCAAACGUUAUACGGAAUUAUUGGGCGUAAAGCGUCCGUAGGUGAUGAUUCAAGUCAGCGGUUAAAGCGUGGGGCUUAACCUCAUACAUGCAGUUGAAACUGGAUUGCUAGAGUGCGGUAGGGGUCGAGGGAAUUACCAGUGUAGCGGUGAAAUGCGUAGAUAUUGGGAAGAACACCGGUGGCGAAAGCGCUCGGCUGGGCCUGCACUGUCACUGAGGGUCGAAAGCUAGGGGAGCGAAAGGG
rnacentral:rRNA from 1 species